UGUUAGAUGCUUGAAAGGAGCAAUUGCUUCACUAGUAGAUGGACCUGCGUUGUAUUAGCUAGUUGGUGAGGUAACGGCUCACCAAGGCGACGAUACAUAGCCGACCUGAGAGGGUGAUCGGCCACACUGGGACUGAGACACGGCCCAGACUCCUACGGGAGGCAGCAGUAGGGAAUCUUCGGCAAUGGGGGCAACCCUGACCGAGCAACGCCGCGUGAGUGAAGAAGGUUUUCGGAUCG
rnacentral:rRNA from 1 species